rnacentral:RNase_P_RNA from 2 species
GCAAGGCCAAAUAGGGGUUCACAUGGUACGGCCCGUACUGAACCCGGGUAGGCUGCUUGAGCCAGUGAGCGAUUGCUGGCCUAGAUGAAUGACUGUCCAAGACAGAACCCGGCUUACCGGUCAGCUUCACUC